rnacentral:rRNA from 1 species
UACGUAGGGUGCGAGCGUUGUCCGGAAUUAUUGGGCGUAAAGGGCUCGUAGGCGGUUUGUCGCGUCGGGAGUGAAAACCCAGGGCUUAACCCUGGGCUGGCUUCCGAUACGGGGCAGACUAGAGGUAUGCAGGGGAGAACGGAAUUCCUGGUGUAGCGGUGAAAUGCGCAGAUAUCAGGAGGAACACCGAUGGCGAAGGCAGGUCUCUGGGCCGACUACUGACGCUGGAGAAGCGAAAGCAUGGGGAGCGAACAGG